AGCUCCAAUAGCGUAUAUUAAAGUUGUUGCGGUUAAAAGCUCGUAGUUGGAUUUCUGCUUAGGACAGCCGGUCCGCACUUCGUGCGUGUAUCUGGUUUGGCCUGGGCAUCCUCUCGGAAACUAUUCCUGUGCUUGAUUGCAUGGGGUGGAGUCCGGGACUUUUACUUUGAGGAAAUUAGAGUGUUCACGGCAGGCAAUCGCCCUGAAUAUAUUAGCAUGGAAUAAUAAUAUAGGAUCUGAUGCCUAUUUUGUUGGUUUCUAGGUGUUAGAUAAUGAUUAAUAGGGACAAUUGGGGGCAUUCGUAUUAUGGCGUCAGAGGUGGAAUUCUUGGAUUGCCAUACGACGAACUACUGCGAAAGCAUUUGCCAAGGAUGUUUUCA
rnacentral:rRNA from 1 species